rnacentral:tRNA from 1 species
AGCUCAGGUGGUAGAGCACUUGACUUUUAAUCAAGUUGUCCGGGGUUCGAGUCCCCGAUGCU